rnacentral:rRNA from 1 species
UGGGGAAUAUUGGACAAUGGGGGCAACCCUGAUCCAGCCAUGCCGCGUGAGUGAUGAAGGCCUUCGGGUUGUAAAGCUCUUUUGGCGGGGACGAUGAUGACGGUAUCCGCAGAAUAAGCCCCGGCUAACUUCGUGC